rnacentral:rRNA from 1 species
UACGUAGGGGCCAAGCGUUGUCCGGAAUUAUUGGGCGUAAAGAGCGUGUAGGCGGCUUGUUAAGUCUUGCGUGAAAUCUCGGGGCUCAACCCCGAGCGGUCGUGAGAAACUGGCAGGCUAGAGUGUGGCAGAGGGGGGGUGGAAUUCCACGUGUAGCAGUGAAAUGCGUAGAGAUGUGGAGGAACACCGAUGGCGAAGGUAGCCCCCUGGGUUAACACUGACGCUCAGGCACGAAAGCGUGGGGAGCAAACAGG